UACGUAGGCAGCAAGCGUUGUUCGGAGUUACUGGGCGUAAAGGGUGCGUAGGCGGUCCUAUAAGUAUGGUGUGAAAUCUCCCGGCUUAACUGGGAGGGUGCGCUAUAGACUGUGGGACUAGAGUGUGGGAGAGGAAGGUGGAAUUCCAGGUGUAGCGGUGAAAUGCGUAGAUAUCUGGAGGAACACCGGUGGCGAAGGCGGCAUUCUGGACUGUAACUGACACUGAGGAACGAAAGCCAGGGGAGCAAACGGG
rnacentral:rRNA from 1 species